rnacentral:rRNA from 2 species
GAGACCUCAGGUCAGGCGGGGCUACCCGCUGAGUUAAGCAUAUCAAUAA